GGUGCAGCAUAUCAAUAAGCGGAGGAAAAGAAACCAACAGGGAUUGCCUCAGUAACGGCGAGUGAAGCGGCAAAAGCUCAAAUUUGAAAUCCCCCGGGAAUUGUAAUUUGAAGGUGGCCUCAGUUAGUCCAAACAUUCUUAAGUCCAUUGGAAAAUGGCGCCAUGGAGGGUGAUAGCCCCGUAAAGAUGUCGUUUGUUCUAUUUUCUCUGGCCACCAAAGAGUCGAGUUGUUUGGGAAUGCAGCUCUAAGUGGGUGGUAAAUUCCAUCUAAAGCUAAAUAUUGGCGAGAGACCGAUAGCGAACAAGUACAGUGAUGGAAAGAUGAAAAGCACUUUGAAAAGAGAGUGAAAAAGUACGUGAAAUUGUUGAAAGGGAAGGGCUUGCAAGCAGACACAACCUCGUGUUGGGCCAGCAUCGGGGCGAGAGGAAGUAAAAACGAUUUGGAAAUGUAACUUUAGAGUAUUAUAGACCUUAUCCCUCCCUUCCAUAUCAUCUUGAGGC
rnacentral:rRNA from 2 species